rnacentral:rRNA from 1 species
UACGUAGGGCGCAAGCGUUGUCCGGAAUUAUUGGGCGUAAAGAGCUCGUAGGCGGCUUGUCACGUCGGGUGUGAAAGCCCGGGGCUUAACCCCGGGUCUGCAUCCGAUACGGGCAGGCUAGAGUGUGGUAGGGGAGAUCGGAAUUCCUGGUGUAGCGGUGAAAUGCGCAGAUAUCAGGAGGAACACCGGUGGCGAAGGCGGAUCUCUGGGCCAUUACUGACGCUGAGGAGCGAAAGCGUGGGGAGCAAAAGGG